rnacentral:rRNA from 1 species
GACGAACGCUGGCGGCAUGCUUAACACAUGCAAGUCGAGCGGUAAGGCCUUUCGGGGUACACGAGCGGCGAACGGGUGAGUAACACGUGGGUGAUCUGCCCUGCACUUCGGGAUAAGCCUGGGAAACUGGGUCUAAUACCGGAUAUGACCUCCUAUCGCAUGGUGGGUGGUGGAAAGAUUUAUCGGUGCAGGAUGGGCCCGCGGCCUAUCAGCUUGUUGGUGGGGUAAUGGCCUACCAAGGCGACGACGGGUAGCCGACCUGAGAGGGUGACCGGCCACACUGGGACUGAGAAACGGCCCAGACUCCUACGGGAGGCAGCAGUGGGGAAUAUUGCACAAUGGGCGAAAGCCUGAUGCAGCGACGCCGCGUGAGGGAUGACGGCCUUCGGGUUGUAAACCUCUUUCAGCAGGGACGAAGCGCAAGUGACGGUACCUGCAGAAGAAGCACCGGCUAACUACGUG